AUUUAUACAUGCAUAGUAUGUAUAAAGUAUGCAUAGAGGGGCCGGCCCCGUGGCCGAGUCGUUAAGUUCACACACUCUGCUUCGGCAGCUCAGGGUUCGGAUCCUGGGCGCGGACAUGGCACCCCUCAUUAGGCCAUGUUGAGGCGGCAUCCCACACACCACAACUAGCAGGACUCACAGUUAAAAUAUACAACUAUGUACUGGGGGGAUUUGGGGAGAAAAAAGCAGGAAAAAGAAACAUUGGCAACAGUUGUUAGCUCAGGUGCCAAUCUUUAAAAAAAAAAAAAAAAAGCAUAGAAAUAAUACACAUCAAUUUAGGACAGUGGUUACUUUUUCAGAAGCAUUGGGAAGUGAGAUUUUUAUUUUCUCCACCCUCAAAAAUAAAAAUAUCAAAAUGAUAACAUCUGUUACAUAUGGGUAGUAGGUAAGGGUGUAUUAUAUUCUUUUCUGUAAUUUUCUUAUGUUUGAAUUUUUUAUAAAAUUUUGAAUGAAAGAAUAAAAUACAGAGACUAAAUGAAGUGGCCCUGAAUUGCCUUCCAGGAAGAGGGUACCAAUUUAUAAUCCCAACAGUAUACAAAAAUGCCCUUGUUUUCUGCCUUCUCGCCAGUGUUGUACAUUGCCAAUCUCGUGGGUAAAAUACUGUAUGAUAUUUUCUUGAUUUGAUUCUCAAUUAUUUCAUUACUAGUGAAGUUAAACAUUUUUUUCUCAUAUUUUGGCUAAUUAUAUGUCUUUUAUUAAAGCCUGUUCACAUGUUGCUUAUUUUCUAUUAACACAUUUAUCAUUUUUCAUAUUGAUUUGUGAGAGCUCUUUAUAUUUUUAGGAAAUUAACCAUUAUUUUGUUACAUGUCCCGAAUUCCCCAGUUCACCACUUGCCUUUCAAUACUCUUUGUCUGUUUAAAUAAGAACGUUGAGGGAUGGGACUAAGAACAAAGCACAUCUAGCAAUAAUGAAAUGGCUUAAUUUUUUAAAAACUACAAGCUCAAUAGCAUGUGGAUUCCCCCCUCCCCGCCUCAGAUCCUAUGUCAUGCUACUCUGUUUCUGUGCUUUUUCUUACACAAUAACAUUUUAUUUCUGUGCCAGCUUUCCCUACAGACAGAAUAGACUUUCUACUCACUAUGAUUGGAGAGGCUCUAGAGAGAGCUAAGAUGCUCUGAUCUGAAGAGUGUUGGAUACCUCCUCUUGGUCAAAAAUACUUGCUUUCACCCUUUCAUAUAGUGUUUUAAGUCAAAAAUAGUGGAGUUUAUUUUUUGUUUUACUUUUUAAAAAAAUAUUGAAGUAAAAUUUGUAUACAGUAAACUGCAAAGAUCUUAGGUGUUUAAUUUGGUGAAUUUUGAGAAGUGUCUUGGUUUUUUACAUUCAAAAGUUUUAGAAUUUUGUCAUUUUCUUUAACAGUUUCCACCUUCAGUUGUAUACAUAGACAAUCUUUUCACAUUCUGACAUUUCCACCAGAUGGCAGUCUUGGGCACGUCCAUUUGUAAACCCGCCGAGAGCUCUGGUGACAAGAAAGGCAGUGGCUGGCAGACCUUCCAAGUCCCUAAAAGUACAAGGACAAAAAGGUUUUUUCGUAACCCUGAAAGACAAAUGAACCCAGCAUUAUGUAAUUAUAGUAUUUAUGCUGCUAUUAACCUUUAAUCUUACAGCCCCUUAGUGGAGGCAGAGAAGCACUGUCACUGUGCCCUUCAAAGUCAUGCUUUUCUUUGUCUAUAUAAUAAACACCUGUGGCUUCUUGGCAGUAAUUUUGGUUUUAUUCCAGGGACUCUCAUGGUUAAAGGCAGGCUUUAAUCUGUCAUUAUUGUUUCCUUUCUCCUGAAAGCACCAUUUAAAUCAGAAGUUACUGGACUUCUAAAUGUUUGUGUAAGAGCAUCUUGUGACCCUGGUUUUUAAGAUGCCCAGAUCUCUUCUGAAGUGAGCUGUGGUGUUUAUAGUUAAUGUAAAGCGAAGUAGGUUUGUAACUGGCUUGUUCUACAUGAAUACAAAUCUCAAUAACCCUCUUAAAGUAGACACUUUGCUUAAUUUAGAUGACUUCAAAGAUACAUGUUUAGAAAUAUAGAAGGUAGUGAAUUUCUUUAUCAUAGAAGGAAUCUACUCAAGUGUUCUCUCAUAGAUACUUUUCCCAGUGGCCACACAAUAGUACUUUGGGACAAUAUCACAUCACCUGGGUAGCUCCCCUCUUGUACCUUUUAUUAUAAUUCCAUUUGUUAAUUUACUUUUGUAUAAUCAGGAAGCGGUAAAUGGCUGUAACUGUGCACAUUCCUUCUAAGAGAUUAUAUUUCCACUCUGAGAUUGAAAGGUACAAAAAAUAUGGUAAGAAAAAAGGGACACAUGUUUGGUCCUUGAUCAGAAAGGUAUACCAAGGUUAAUUCUUGCUUUUCCAAAGAAAAUUGAUAAAAAUAUUCUAGGAGAUAAUAUAGUAAAAAUUUUGACAGUAAGUGAUUUCCUUUAGAGAAAACCAUGGAAAAGUUUCCUUUCGUUUUUUUGAUCUCUGGAUAAUUCCAUGAUGUAGUUAUGUGGAAUAACGAAUUUCUUUAGUGUGUUGCAUGGAUUUAUUCAUGUUUUGUAUAAUCUCUGAGAAUGAAUGUUGAAAUGGACUUCGGGAAUCUUGGCAAUAUAGUAAUUAUGCCUAGAGCUUGCUUGUAGUGUACUGAGACACCUUUAACUGACAAAAUUGUAAUUGGUUAGAGUUAGGUUCACGCCACACAUUGCUGGAUAGUUAGGGGAAACCUAAAUUGUAUAAGUAAAACCAUAAGUUAAAUGCACCUGGAAGACUGACUAUAUAAAAUUAUCUUUGAAAAGGAAGAAGUUCCUUUCUAAUAACCCAUGUUUGUAUUGGGGGGGUGUGGGUGUGGGUGUGUACACACACAUAUAAAUACAUAUAUAUACAAAUAUAGAUAGAAUUUUUAUAUCUCUAUUUUUAUAUAUAAUUUUUUUAGGGCUUUGGGCUUUUUCAGGGUGGGAUAUGUAUGAAUCUGCCGAAUAAGACAGAAUGAUCCCUAUUAUAGUAUAACAGUGUACUACACUAUACUAGUGAAACGUCUUUCACCAUCAAAAAUUUACACGUCCGUGCUGAUUGCUUUAACGCUAGUGGAAACUACAUUUUCUAGACUGAUUUCACAUCAAAAAGCCACACACACAUUUCAAUUAUAUCUCAGUAAAACUGGGGGCCGGGGGAGCAACACACACACAAAUGUUUGUCCCUUUGAGAGAUAAAAGUGGCCAGUAAAGCAAACUGAAUGGUUUGUAGUUUUUCAUCCUCCAAAGUUUCAACAUAGCCGUAGUUCUAAAGAAUUGUCAGUUGUGUGUUCUUCAAAGAUAGAAUAAUAAAUUGUAUAGCUGAACAGAUCUUUAUACUUUUGGAAUCUCAAAGUUGGAGAAAACCUGAAUACCAGAUGGUCCUUUAGCAGCCUCUAGUCUGACUCUUCGGGGACCAGAAUCUACUUCCACCUUUGGGCAGCUCUGCCAUCCUAGUUGGUUCUCUGUUUCUUCCCUUCAUUUGUCUUAUUAACUCUUGGGGCCAGACAUUUAACUACCGUAUUGUGAUGACUCCCAGUAUCUUCUCCUUCCUAUCCCCAGUCAGUUCACUCAUCAUAUAUCGUGGCUUCAGUUGUCUUUACCAUCCAAGACCCUUUUCUCCAAAUGCUCUGGUUUUCUCUAUCUUUCUUAAAGUAUACGACCCAGAACUGAACAUUUAUAGGUAGCAAAACUGUCAUGUCCUUUGUUCUAGUUAAUAUUCUUCUUCUGUAUAACAUCCAGAUAUUGGACUAGCUUUUCUGACACCCACAUGAUAUUGUUGGAGUCCUUUGAGGUUUUUUCCUGCUGUUAAGCAUUCUUUCCCCAUCCUGCACUUGUGCAGUUGGUGUUUUGUUUAACCUAGUUUGCAGGACCUUCCUUUAUUCUUAUGAAGUUUUCUUGUGUUGGAUUCAUUAACCUAUUGAGAUGUUUUUGGAUUCGUCCAAGAUAGAUUUGCUGUCUUUUUCUUUCUGAUCACUCCAAAGUUUGAUAUGUAAAUCUAUAUUGAAUGAAACAAGUCUGAGGACAACAGCCUGUAGAAGGCCUCAGAAACUUCUCUUCAGCGUGAUAUGAAUUGACCACUGACCGUAUUAAUCAACACCCUUUAGGUAAGAAUUUCAGCGAUUAACUGGUCCAUCUAUCUGCCCAUUUGUCCCCAGAGUUAUCUGUAAGGAUAUCAUAGGAUCUUACAUUCCUUGCUGAAGUCUUGCAUUUCCCUAAUGUUAGUUGAGUAACUGCCCCAAAAGUUCAUGAAGUUAAGUCAAAUCUGCUGAUUCAGAGUGAACUGUGUUCUUUCCUAAAGGCUUAAAAAACAUUAUCAUUAUAAUAAGGGUCUAUUCUAGGGCCUUUCCUGGGACCAGUAUCAAAUUUUCACCGUCUUCUACCUCUUCCCAAAGUUGGAAUGGCAGUCACCCUUUCUGACGUUGUGGCCAGUGCACUACUCCACACUUCUGUAAUAACUUACAGUGGGCCACCCAGAAAUAUUCUUAGAUUUUCAGUAUAUUUUGUUUUCAGCAUAAAAUAGGAAACGAAGUUCUUAUUGGCCCUAUCACUUCUAUGUAAGUCAACUUAUUUGAAAUUUUCACUUUGACCCUAUUCCUAUAGGUACAUGAAAAUUUCUGGUGUUUAUUUAUGUUUAUGGUGGUUUUUUGCAUCAUUUAUGCAUUUCUGAAAUUCUGAACAUUCUUGCAUUCUUACAUUUCUUCCUGUGCAAACUGUUAGUUUCUUGUUUUUGUUAUUUUUUUUAGGUACAUCUCCCUUUUUUAUUCUGCAUGUAUGUGAUUCUUCAGUAAACAAAUAUUUUAAAAAAUAACCCAAAUGCAUUAAAAAAGUAUUAAAACUACAGCUUGGCUGACAGCCUACGGCCAAGUGCAGCAUGUAGACUGGAAAGAGCAAAACAGUGCCACAUGCAGAAGGAUGCUAUUCACAUCAAAGGCUGUGGGGACUUAUCAUAUCACAAGUUUCCGGCAAGUAGCAGGAAAGUGUUCUUACUAAAAAAAUUAGUAUAGUUAUAUUGCAACAAAUAUCUGACAGGUGGAAGUAAAAUGAUUCCAGAAAGGAGUGCUUUGGGGAGAGUUUUUUUAAAUUGCCAAAGAUGCCAAACGGGCUAGUGGCAGCCCUGGAGCCUUGUGUUUGCUCUGAGAAAGGAGACAAUGUAGCUUCUCUCUUUACAUUCUUCCCUAUGUGUAUUAUAUCCUCUUUCCCUUAAAAAAUGGGAGAAGGCGGCACUUGGAGUAGUGUGGCAGGGGAAUUGAGCCGCAUGUCGGCAAUCAUAAAGGACCGGCUUUGAGUUUCUAGUCUGGAGUUCAGACUUCUUGGAAGGGCCUCUCUGUUACACACUCUGGAUGCCCUUUUAUCUCAUUUUCUUGACUUUCUCAGUAACUAGGGCUCCAAGAAUCGCAAGUAAGAAAGAAAGAAUGGAAAGGAAGAGACUGCCCCAGGUGUAGACAGAUUUGUAAAUUUCUG
ensembl:lncRNA